GACGAACGCUGGCGGCGUGCUUAACACAUGCAAGUCGAACGGAAAGGCCCUGCUUUUGUGGGGUGCUCGAGUGGCGAACGGGUGAGUAACACGUGAGUAACCUGCCCUUGACUUUGGGAUAACUUCAGGAAACUGGGGCUAAUACCGGAUAGGAGCUCCUGCUGCAUGGUGGGGGUUGGAAAGUUUCGGCUGUUGGGGAUGGACUCGCGGCUUAUCAGCUUGUUGGUGGGGUAGUGGCUUACCAAGGCUUUGACGGGUAGCCGGCCUGAGAGGGUGACCGGCCACAUUGGGACUGAGAUACGGCCCAGACUCCUACGGGAGGCAGCAGUGGGGAAUAUUGCACAAUGGGCGGAAGCCUGAUGCAGCAACGCCGCGUGCGGGAUGACGGCCUUCGGGUUGUAAACCGCUUUCGCCUAUGACGAAGCGUGAGUGACGGUAAUGGGUAAAGAAGCACCGGCUAACUACGUG
rnacentral:rRNA from 1 species